CUGGUUUAAUUAGAGGGAUCCCGGCAGCUCCCAGCUCGGUAUAAUUUCGGUAAUAUCAGCAUGCGAUGGGUCGGAUUCGGUAAUUCACUCACAAACCUCCCUUCACUCCCUCUAUCUGCGUUCCACUCGCUUCCUGGCGCUGCGUUUCAGCGUGCGUUCCAUUCACUUCCUGUAUCAUGCGUGCGUUUCACUUACGUCCUAUGAUCAGCGUGCGUUCCAUUUACUUCCUGUAUCCAGCGUGCGUUCCAUUUACUUCCUGUAUCCAGCGUGCGUUCCAUUACAGUUUGUGAGGCUGUUGGUGAUCAGUAAUCAGUUUAAUGUAACGCUCAGACUUGUGGGAAGUCUGUCACCAUGACAACUAGAUGCUGGGAAUUGCAGUCACUGCUAGUAGCACGGUUAGUGGGGGAAGGGCUGGAUGCUGGGGAUUGUAGUCACUGCUAGUAGGACGGUUAGUGGGGGAAGGGCUGGAUGCUGGGGAUUGUAGUCACUGCUAGUAGGACGGUUAGUGGGGGAAGGGCUGGAUGCUGGGGAUUGUAGUCACUGCUAGUAGCACGGUUAGUGGGGGAAGGGCUGGAUGCUGGGAAUUGCAGUCACUGCUAGUAGGACGGUUAGUGGGGGAAGGGCUGGAUGCUGGGAAUUGCAGUCACUGCUAGUAGCACGGUUAGUGGGGGAAGGGCUGGAUGCUGGGAAUUGUAGUCACUGCUAGUAGGACGGUUAGUGGGGGAAGGGCUGGAUGCUGGGAAUUGUAGUCACUGCUAGUAGCACGGUUAGUGGUGGAAGGGCUGGAUGCUGGGGAUUGUAGUCACUGCUAGUAGCACGGUUAGUGGUGGAAGGGCUGGAUGCUGGGGAUUGUAGUCACUGCUAGUAGGACGGUUAGUGGGGGAAG